rnacentral:rRNA from 1 species
CCUACGGGAGGCUGCAGUGAGGCAUAUUGGUCAAUGGGCGCGAGCCUGAACCAGCCAAGUAGCGUGAAGGAUGACUGCCCUACGGGUUGUAAACUUCUUUUAUAAAGGCAUAAAGUGAGGCACGUGUGCCUUUUUGUAUGUACUUUAUGUAUAAGGAUCGGCUCACUCCGUGCCAGCAGCCGCGGUAAUACGGAGGAUCCGAGCGUUAUCCGGGUUUAUUGGGUUUAAAGGGAGCGUAGAUGGGUUGUUAAAUCAGUUGUGAAAGUUUGCGGCUCAACCGUAAAAUUGCAAUUGAUACUGGCAGCCUUGAGUACAGUUGAGGUAGGCGGAAUUCGUGGUGUAGCGGUGAAAUGCUUAGAUAUCACGAAGAACUCCGAUUGCGAAGGCAGCCUACUAAACUGCCACUGACAUUGAUGCUCGAAAGUGUGGGUAUCAAACAGGAUUAGAUACCCGAGUAGUC